GCAGUCGAAGUACUCCAUCCUUUCACAUGCAGGGACACUCCGACACUGAAUCCUCUGCUGGCGAGGAAUUGCGUUUUUCUCCUGAACCAAUGGAGUCAACACAGGAGGGUACACAUUCCAUUGAAAAUCCGCGAAGUAGACGUCAUAACGACGACGAUGUGAGUAUCUAUACUUAGGUUCUCUAAAGUAAUCAAUUGUCUUUUGUGAUAACUAUAUUAUU